rnacentral:rRNA from 1 species
UACAUGGGGUGCAAACGUUGCUCGGAAUUAUUGGGCGUAAAGCGCGUGUAGGCGGCCCUGCAAGUCGGGUGUGAAAUCCCACGGCUCAACCGUGGAAGUGCACUCGAAACUGCAGGGCUAGAGUCCUGGAGAGGAAGGUGGAAUGCUUGGUGUAGAGGUGAAAUUCGUAGAUAUCAAGCGGAACACCGGUGGCGAAGGCGGCCUUCUGGACAGUGACUGACGCUGAGACGCGAAAGCGUGGGGAGCAAACAGG